rnacentral:rRNA from 1 species
UACGGAAGGCAGCAGUGGGGAAUAUUGCACAAUGGGCGCAAGCCUGAUGCAGCCAUGCCGCGUGUAUGAAGAAGGCCUUCGGGUUGUAAAGUACUUUCAGUCGUGAGGAAGGUGUUAAGGUUAAUAACCUUAGCAAUUGACGUUAGCGACAGAAGAAGCACCGGCUAACUCCGUGCCAGCAGCCGCGGUAAUACGGAGGGUGCGAGCGUUAAUCGGAAUUACUGGGCGUAAGGGCACGCAGGCGGUUAAUAAGUUGGAUGUGAAUCCCCGGGCUUAACCUGGGAAUGGCAUUCAAGACUGGUUAGCUAGAGUCUUGUAGAGGGGGUAGAAUUCCAUGUGUAGCGGUGAAAUGCGUAGAGAUGUGGAGGAAUACCGGUGGCGAAGGCGGCCCCUGGGACAAAGACUGACGCUCAUGUGCGAAAGCGUGGGGAGCAAACAGGAUUAGAUACC